GACUUAACGAUUUUUUUUCUAUACUCCAACUCUGUUUCAAACAUCAAAUUCAAAAAACCAUCGAUGGCGGUAGACUGAGAAUCAAUUAUUAAGAUUGCAGGUUUGCUUCUAGUGUUAAGACAAAUAUGAUUUUGCAUCAAAGUUUGUCUUUUUUCGGAUUUUUUUGUUAGAGAAGAGCUAGAAUUUUCUUCUUCUGGAAGAUCUUAGUGGUCGGAUUUUUGAAUUUUGCCCGUUCCUUACCUAGUGCUUACUAUUUUGGGGGUUAAUCAUAAAUAGCAUUUACCCACUUCUAUGUGGUCUACCUUAUGUUUCCUGUGGAGAUAAGUUUAUGCUAUAUGGUAGUAUAUACACAGCUGAACGGAAAAACAUUGAUGCAAGAUGCAUUUCUUGUUUGCCAAAUGCCAAUAGCACCAAGAACUCAUCACAAACUCUACAUGACCCAUGCAUAAUCAGGGAAGACAGGAGUAUUUUUUUAUGAUAGAUUACACAUCAGGUCUCGCGUAAAUUUUGUUCGAGUUCAAAUUUGAGGCCUCAAUGCAACAGCGGUCUGAUCGAAACCAGCUUUCUGCAUCAAAGCACGUAAAUGUGAAUGAUAUUGAUCUCGAACGUAGUUACAGAAGAAAUAGCUUUUUUAACUUGUAUCGAAUUGAAAAAUUUGGUGGCUUUUUUCAAUUUUAAUGCAAAACUUAUUCAUUUUUUCUUUCGGUCUAUGUAUUAUAUGUUUUGACUAUUGUGGAAUCGUAUAUGAAUUUGGUGUUCUAAGCAUUUUCAGUGAGAAUUUAUUUGGAAUCUUCUGUUUU